rnacentral:lncRNA from 1 species
AGCAAUUAAAUUAUUAAGAAAUAUGUCCGACAUGUUUCAAAUGUACAUUUUACAGUAAUGGAAACCUACUUUGACUACGGAGGUGGUUGAAUUAGCAACUUUUUAUGCUGUGGAUUUCUUUGAAACUGAAAGAUGUUAAGUGACAUUUUUCUUUAAAAAAAACCUCAGACACUUGUUUCAAGUAAACUUGUUUCGCUCAAAUCCGUCAGAGGACAUUCUAAUGACAUGAUGACAUGUUUUAAUGGUUGUCGAUGGCACUAGAGUUGAAACUAUCGUUUAAAUUCAUUUCGACACAUUCAUCGACAGUACAGUUAAAUGUGCAAAUAAUGUUAAAACAUUUUGAAUGUGUUACAGUAACUUGUAAGCAAACAGUUUAAGAGAAAACUUUAAUGUGUGCCAAUCUAUCGAUUUUCCAUAGAAUGUAUACUGAAAUAUAUGUCGACGGCGUAAGUCUGCAAUCACAUAUCUCGUUUGCGGUGUCUAAAAAUCUCCGCCUCUAUAUUAUUUUUUAAAGGAGGACAAAUUGACACCAUUCCUUGAAGUUUUCGCAGAGUUUUCUUCGCACAGAGUAGAAAAAUCACGGCAGUUUUAAGGAAUCGCCGUUGAGUAGUUUUCCGUUUAAAAACUUAAGUAUGACAGGAAGUCUGCGAUGUCGCAAACCGAGUUAUGUGAUUGCCGACUUACACCGUCGAUAUGUAAAUUUAAAGGGCAGUGACUUUUCGAUAAGAUUUUUCACAAGUUUCCUCAAAUAUUGGUGUCUUAAAAAGUAUAGAGCUGAGCUCUAUGGACGACGUUGAUUUUAUUUUGUUUACAUUGGCGGAUUUAGCAAUUUGGCAACACCGGGUUUCCUCCAUUUAAACCUAUGGAAAUGUAUCGAUUCUUCGAGGGCAAGGUGCUCCGAUAGGAAUCGAUUACUUAACAUACGUUUAAGUUGAGAAAAUCCGGUGUUGCCGAAUUGCUAGAUCCGCCUCUGUUUGUUUAGUGUUUAUUUAUCAAUUAUAAUCUUAAUGGUAACACGAAAAAUUCGUUACUCCAACUAUUUCGACUCGCAAGUGAUGGUGCUGCAUCCAGAAAAUGAAGAAACUUUGAAAGAUUUCGGUGAUCUUCAACGAAGCAGUCAAAUUUAGAGUGCUCGCGGGGGAGAGUUUGUCCAUUGUGUGUCCCUUUCUUAUUGAUCGUAGGAAAUAGGCUAUUAUGGUGUUGGCGGCCGUAAGUAAUUAUUGUAAAUUUGAAAAUUUUACUGAAUUGUAUCGGCACCUAAGGAAAAUUUAGUGAAAAAGCUUAAUUUACUUGAAGCAUGAAAAGCUAUUUUUAGUAUUUAUUCCCACCGUAAUAAGGAAGAACGUCGCGUCGUCUAAAUUUCCAAAUUUGUCUUCCCUCCGAUAACAUAUUAAUUUUUGAGAAGAAUUAUGCCUCUUUCUCAAAAUUUUCAGAUUAUUUUUUUUUUUUUUUUUUUUUUGAAGGGAUUUUAUUUAAAUAUAACGUAACUCCUACAAGUAUUUCCUUGUGUCUAUCUACGUGGCUUAAAACUAAAACUGAACAAAUUGCAUUAAUUUUACAUUUUUUUUUUCAGAUAUUGUGGAUUAAAUUGCGAAUGAAAUUCCGUGAAAAAUCGGGAUGAAAAUAUCCACAUGUUUUUUAGUAAAUUAACAUUUUAUCUAUGGAAAUUUGGCAAAGCCUCUAGUUUCAUACGGCGUUUUUCCUUUACAGCAGAAAGCUGUCAUAAUGCAUGAUACGAAAUCUGUAAUCCUGUGUCCUUGAAUUUAAAAGAGUUAUUGCUGAAAUAAUGGACUCGUCUUUUGCCAUGCUGAAAACAUAGCCCCUUCUACAUUAACGCACAAAACCAACUGAAAGGAUUCGAUCUGCUGGCAUUUAUCCACCCACACAAUUUAACUGGGAUCGUCUUCAAUUCAAAGUAGCGAAUAAAAACGUAUUUUGAUUGAUAAAGCCACCAUAAAACCCAUGAGCAUAUCACUUUAGCUUCCGCGUACACAGGGAUCGCACUAUGUCAAUGGGUGAACUUUCAAUUUUUAUUGCUUUGACUGCAACUGUGGGAUGAUUUAUAUACCUCAGAGAAUGCAGUAUAUUCUCCUCAUUAACGUUGUGCAACAAAAGUCCUGAAGUU